rnacentral:rRNA from 1 species
AUUGAACGCUGGCGGCAUGCUUUACACAUGCAAGUCGAACGGCAGCACGGGGGCAACCCUGGUGGCGAGUGGCGAACGGGUGAGUAAUGCAUCGGAACGUACCCAGUCGUGGGGGAUAACGCAGCGAAAGUUGUGCUAAUACCGCAUACGACCUGAGGGUGAAAGCGGGGGACCGUAAGGCCUCGCGCGAUUGGAGCGGCCGAUGUCUGAUUAGCUAGUUGGUGGGGUAAAGGCCCACCAAGGCGACGAUCAGUAGCGGGUCUGAGAGGAUGAUCCGCCACACUGGGACUGAGACACGGCCCAGACUCCUACGGGAGGCAGCAGUGGGGAAUUUUGGACAAUGGGGGCAACCCUGAUCCAGCCAUGCCGCGUGCGGGAAGAAGGCCUGGUUGUAACCGCUUCGUACGGAAGAAAUACGCAUGGACGUAAUACUACUGUGUGGAUGACGGUACCGUAACGAAGAAGACACCGGC